AGAGUUUGAUCCUGGCUCAGGACGAACGCUGGCGGCGUGCCUAACACAUGCAAGUCACGGGGGCCCGCAAGGGUAACCGGCGAACGGGUGCGUAACACGUGAGCAAUCUGCCGUCCACUGGGGGAUAGCCGGCCCAACGGCCGGGUAAUACCGCAUACGCUUGCCGGGUGGCAUCACCUGGCAAGGAAACCUCCGGGGGUGGACGAGGAGCUCGCGGCCUAUCAGCUAGUUGGUGGGGUCACGGCCCACCAAGGCGAUGACGGGUAGCUGGUCUGAGAGGAUGGCCAGCCACAUUGGGACUGAGAUACGGCCCAGACUCCUACGGGAGGCAGCAGUGGGGAAUAUUGCGCAAUGGCCGCAAGGCUGACGCAGCGACGCCGCGUGGGGGAUGAAGCAUUUCGGUGUGUAAACCCCUGUUGCCCGGGACGAACCUCCCCUUUCGAGGGGACUGACGGUACCGGGUGAGGAAGCACCGGCUAACUCCGUGCCAGCAGCCGCGGUAAUACGGGGGGUGCGAGCGUUGUCCGGAAUCACUGGGCGUAAAGGGCGCGUAGGCGGUGACUUAAGCGUGUGGUGAAAGCCCGGGGCUCAACCCCGGGUCGGCCGUGCGAACUGGGUCACUCGAGCACUGUAGAGGCAGGUGGAAUUCCGGGUGUAGCGGUGGAAUGCGUAGAGAUCCGGAAGAACACCAGUGGCGAAAGCGGCCUGCUGGGCAGUAGCUGACGCUGAGGCGCGACAGCGUGGGGAGCAAACAGGAUUAGAUACCCUGGUAGUCCACGCCGUAAACGAUGGGCACUAGG
rnacentral:rRNA from 1 species